UGGGCCGAGGUCGAAGGGUCGAGACACCUGGCCGUGACCCAGGAGAAGCCGGUUCGAGUCCGGUCGGUCCAC
rnacentral:tRNA from 1 species